CCUACGGGAGGCAGCAGUGGGGAAUAUUGCACAAUGGAGGGAACUCUGAUGCAGCGACGCCGCGUGAGUGAAGAAGGUCUUCGGAUCGUAAAACUCUGUCCUUGGUGACGAAGAAAAUGACGGUAGCCAAGGAGGAAGCCCCGGCUAACUACGUGCCAGCAGCCGCGGUAAUACGUAGGGGGCGAGCGUUGUCCGGAUUUACUGGGCGUAAAGGGUGAGUAGGCGGUUAUAUAUGUCAGGUGUAAAAAGCUAUGGCUUAACCAUAGUAAGCACUUGAAACUGUAUGACUUGAGUGCAGGAGAGGUAAGCGGAAUUCCUAGUGUAGCGGUGAAAUGCGUAGAUAUUAGGAGGAACACCGGUGGCGAAGGCGGCUUACUGGACUGUAACUGACGCUGAGUCACGAAAGCGUGGGUAGCAAACAGGAUUAGAUACCCUGGUAGUCCACGCCGUAAACGAUGAGUGCUAGGUGUUGGGCAGCAAUGC
rnacentral:rRNA from 1 species